GGACUUUGGGGAAAUCUGGAUGUGGCAUCUAUUAUUCCAUUGAUCUCCAGGAUUGAUUCAGCUGAUGUAGCUGGCUGGAUAAGUAUCUCCUUCCUCUCUCAUAGUUCCAUGUGCAUCCUUCCCAAAGCUGUCCAUUGAGUGGAAGAGAAUGGCCAUCUGAGCUAGAAGGAGUGGACCAUUCUUUGGUCAAGGGUAUAUGAUCUUCCCACAGUCGCUUCGUAUCCGGGGUGCAAAGUUUCCGUACCC
rnacentral:snRNA from 1 species